UUCUUUGACAACUUUUGACAUUUUCUACACAGUCUCAACUUGAAGUUAAUAGAUUGUAAUAGAGUGGAGAGAUGUGAAAAUGAAAAUGUCAUAUAAAUUCAAUAUAAUAACAUUAAGUCUCUUCAGCCCAGACAAGCAGAGCCGCGAUGUUUCCUUGGUUUGAGCACUUAAAUGUAUGUUUGCAAUUUAAUCAAGACCCACACCCAACUUUCGAACGCUGGUUGACAAAUUGGAGGCACUGUCGGCGCAGUAGAGAAUAGAAGGGCCUUGCGCCGAGCCCGAAUGAAACUUAUUAAAGUCCAUUUUGUCGGGCAUUUUCGACUUUGUGUCAUUUAUGAACCAAAUUUAUCAACUUUUUGUAACACGGCGUUGAUUUUAUUAUUUCAAACUGAAAAAAAACUGAAGUGGGAUACUCUGAGGCUUGGCGUGGUCAGCGUUUCGAGGCAAAUCCUGAAGCCGCCUUCAUUAGCGAAGGUUGAAUUGGGCGACAUCGCAAUUUCGCGGUCUCCAAUUUGGCUUUCUGCCUGCUCCUUCUGAAGUGUGAGAGAUUUUAAGUGCUUUAGCUCUAACACGGAUGUAAUUUGUUAUUUAGCAAGGCAUUGCUUUAAGCUAUUCCUCAGCUGCGAACAAAUCGGAGCUGUUCUUGAAAGGACAUAAACAGGCUUUAUGUUUAUGGACUUAUGUUUCAUUUGAGCUCACGGAAUCUCCUGAGUAUUGCAAUAGUGGAAUUGUAUUAUUCUUUAAAUUUAGCCAUACAUAAUAUACAAAUUAAGAAAACCUGUCACAAUAAUUUGCUCUUUACAAAUUUGAAAUGCAAAACCGAAUUAAAGUGCCAAAG